GUGUCAGCAGCCGCGGUAAUACGGAGGGUGCGAGCGUUAUUCGGAAUUACUGGGCGUAAAGGGUCCGCAGGUGGCAGUUCAAGUCUGCAGUCAAAGGUCGGGGCUCAACCCCGGAAAGGCUGUGGAAACUGAACAGCUAGAGUACGGUAGGGGCAGAGGGAAUUCCCAGUGUAGCGGUGAAAUGCGUAGAGAUUGGGAAGAACACCGGUGGCGAAAGCGCUCUGCUAGGCCGAAACUGACACUGAGGGGCGAAAGCUAGGGGAGCGAAAGGGAUUAGAUACCCCUGUAGUCCUAGCUGUAAACGAUGGAGACUAGGUGUGGCCUGUAUCGACCCGGGCCGUGCCGGAGCUAACGCGUUAAGUCUCCCGCCUGGGGAGUACGCACGCAAGUGUGAAACUUAAAGGAAUUGACGGGG
rnacentral:rRNA from 1 species